rnacentral:rRNA from 1 species
GAUGAGCGCUAGCGGCAGGCUUAACACAUGCAAGUCGAGGGGCAGCGUGACGGUUAGCAAUAACUGUUGACGGCGACCGGCGCAAGGGUGCGUAACGCGUGAGCAACUUGCCCGUUUCUGGAGGAUAACCGGUGGAAACGCCGACUAAUACUCCAUAGCAUAUACGAGAGGCAUCUUUUGUAUAUUAAAGAAUUUUGGAAACGGAUAGGCUCGCGCGACAUUAGCUAGUUGGCGGGGUAACGGCCCACCAAGGCGACGAUGUCUAGGGGGUUCUGAGAGGAAGGUCCCCCCAACUGGAACUGAGACACGGUCCAGACUCCUACGGGAGGCAGCAGUGAGGAUAUUGGGUCAAUGGUCGAAAGACUGAACCAGCCAUGCCGCGU